AACACGCUGAACGGCUCCGGGGCCUGGGCGCGGCCGCAGACUGCGGCAGGGGCUGGGCAGGGGGGCCGUGAGGAGGGAAGUAGGGCAGCGGAGGAGGGGCGGCGGCAGCGGGGGCUGGCGCCGGGGGCGAUCCGCAGCCCCGGCAGCGCAGCCCGCGCGGGAGGGGCGGGGGCUCCGUCCCGGCCUGUUGUGGGGCCGAGCGCGGGCCGGAGCCAGGGUGUCUGAGUCAGAGCUGCAUCCUCGGAGGAAUAAACGCCAAAACUCCCUCCUCGGCCGCUCUCACAUCCCCAACCUCCGGCUUCUUCCUCACGACCGUCGAUGCUGUCAGCAUACGUGUUAUUUAUGAAUCUCUUAACAGCACAUUUUCGGCCUAAGCUGCGCGAAAAACCGGGCAGACCCGCCGGAUCUCACACACGGAGAAGAACUACCUGAGGGGCGGGGAAGAGGGGAGCAAGAAAGGAGCGGGAAUUUUUGCAACCUGCUCAGGAGGUUUUGACUGAAAUUCUCAGUCAGACACUCGAGGAUGAGAAUCUUGCCCGAAGCGUUUAGGACUCAAAGGCAAGUGGGAGAAAGCUUCUUUCCUUAGAGCAAGUGCAACAGCACUCGCUGAAGGCAUUUCUGUUCUGCAGGGAAUGAGACAAGCAGCGAAUGAACCUCGUUUGCCCUUUAGGGAACAGCGCUCGGGGAGCAGGAAUGGCGCGCUUCCAUCCAGACCAGCGGGCGCUGCCAAAGCCAGGAGCUCGCUCAGGCGUUCAGGGCAGACACAGCCAUGGCCAUUCGUAAGGCGCCCCUCUUCCUACCACCAUAUCUCCUCCCAGCUCUCGCUGUACCCGUACGCCGCCCUGCCUCCCUUGCCCGGCUUCAACCCCUCCAGCGAUACGGCUGAUGGAGGGAGGGGAGGCGGCGGCUGGGGUUUCGUUCGACGCCCACCAGGGGCUGAGCGAGCCUCCUUCAGUGCGCAAACUCGGGGCACCAGAUAAAAGCUGGGCUGGCAGCUCUUACCCUGCCUCGAUGGAGCCGCCACAUUCGGGUGACUGGAGAAGCAGUUAGCAGCAGCGCCAUAGACUAGCGUCCCCCCACACCUUGGGCACAGAGAGUUUGGGGCUCUAAACAGCUGCUGCUGCGGCAGGAGGGAGCCGAGGGCGCUUGGCUGGGGCUGCUCGCUCGGGUUCUGCCUGUUGUUGCGCGAAAUGGCGGCUGGCGUCUUGGUUUGUAGAGGAUACCAGGGAAGAAAGGGAGAAGACAGUAAAUAGGAAUGACAGAGUAUGAAGCUUUCAGAAGUCUGCAGCCUCAUUUGAGCUUAGGUUUUAAAAUGUGAAAGUACCCUAAAGGACUUGCUGAAAUCUGAAGAUGGAGGCAGGCUCAGUCACUCAAACUCCAGUAGUUCCAGAAUCUGUAACGUAGACAGGAUAAGGAUUUUUUCUCUGCAGUUAAUGCUGUGCUUUUUUUGCUGGUUUCUCAGGGGAAAAGACUCAACAUGUUGAAUCACAGAGACGUUACUUCCUGCUGUUAUUUCCUUGCAGCUCUCCCCUCCAUGGCUGCAGGAGCUGUUUUCACAUAGUGCAUGUUUGCUGGAGAUGAAGACAGAAGCCAGCCAGUUCUGUGCUGAAUGUAAUAGUUUCUGACUCAGAUUGUGUGGUAAUUGUCAAAAUAUCAUAGGGUGUGGUAGGAACUGCUGUGUCGAACAUGGCUGAGAAUUUAUUCCUUCAUAAUUUGCCUAGAUGAGUAUAAUAUGCUAAUCUGAAUUAACAUAUGAAAACAGGGGAAAGAUUUCUUGAUGUUUUCUAGCCACUUGAAACCUGAUUGUGUGCAAAAAUAAAUUUCAGUAUGCCAGAGUAUUCAUGGGGUUUUUUUCCAUUUGGUCAAUCUUAACUCCCAUCCUUUCUGAUUUCCCACAGAAAGAAAGAAAAGCUACUUGCUAUAGCUUCAAAAAUAUUAACAAAAAACUGAGCACUGGGAAUAUGAUAGAGCUUCAAAUUACUAUCAGUUUCACUAGGAAUUAAAAACAUGUAAUCCUGGAACCUGCAGUAGUAAAUUGAUAUCAAGUAUUUUGACAUACAUACCUGCUUCAUACAGCUGGCUUUCCUCGUAGAAGAGAAAUAUUCCUAGCAGCUUGUUGCAGUACUGAGUUUUAGUGUCAAGUAUGAGAUUGGCACGUUUACUAUGAAGACAAACUUUAAGAGAAUUCAUAUGAACUCUACUUCUUCAGCAAUUGUUCUUGAUAAACUAGGUCUUGCAGCUCCAAGAGGCAAACAGGAAAGGGAUGGAGGGGUGGUAGUCAAAUUUUCAGGCAGAUCAGCUCCAGCUGGAUUUCAGCUCUCUGAAUGUGGAAUAGUGUCAAACAAUGCAGCACUCCUGUAUCCCCUUUUUUCAGAAAUGUCUUCAGAUCUGCUGUCUUUGUACUCGGCAGUGCUAGAGAAGAGUUCUGGAUGAAGCCAUUUCUCUCUUGUGUUUUAACCUCUGCUGUAUGCUGUCCAGUCCCCUUGUUCAGCAAGCAGUUCCUUUUGAUGAACUGUCCUCUGGUGCUGUUUGGAGAAAAGGGAAGGAGUUGAUCUCUAGAUGAGUAUGUGAAAUAUAGGACUGAAAGGACUGCCUGAAGUUGUUAAACCUAGUGACUUAGAGCAUCUAGAAAAGCCACUUUGCAGGAUAAUCCUUCCCAGCACAUUCGAUGAUAAUGUUUCCAGUGCUUUUGAGCUUUUGUCUCUGGGCUUUAAUGAUCCUAGAAUGUGAACUGGCACCUAAAGUAUCAUAAGAAGUGCAACUUCUGACAUAAUUUUAAAUAAGUGAAUCUUUCAUCCUUAGAUGUAAUUCUUGCUGGAUUAAAAUGGCUAUAUAUUUUAAUUAGAUAUGGUCUGUGUGCCUAAUUUGACACAGAAAUGCUUGAAAAAAUAAUAUUAAUGAAAAUUUUCCUUAAUGGUGAAUGACAGAUGUGUAAACUACCGUUAGACUCUGUGUGUGUGACUGAUUGUUUGUUAAAGGAAAAGCAUGUUUUCAGAGCGUGGUUUUUGGACUUCCAGACAGAUUACACAAACUCAAGGAGGCCCAGCCCACAUCCUGUGUAGAAAACCAGCUCACAGAAAUGCUCAUUGUUCUUCAGGGUUAUAAGUCACUGUAUUUUGUGCCUCCCUUCUAUUUCAAAAUAUUGUAUGGAAAAUACUAAUGCAAAGGAACCACAGGAACUUAACAAGUGCUUGGUCCUUUCAGGUACUGAGCACUGUGCUCUUACCAGAAGGCUGGGGGACUGGGAUUAGAACAAUUAGGCUCCCUGGCUAGAGAACAAAGAGUUUGUGUUGGUAAAAGUAGCUGAGAGCAUUUAUCAGGUGAAUAAAUCUAUUGAUAAUUGGCAUAUUUUCAACCUGAAAGUUGUUUGUGUGUGGCCAUGCCAGUAUUUACUACCUCAGAGUGAGAGUUACAGGAUAUAAGGGUUUCUUCAAGCAAGGUGAGUUCUCCCUGAUUGAUUGACCUCUGUUCAGUCUUUACUGCAGAAAUAAAGAACGUGGGGUGUCCAGAUCUGAUACCCCACCAGGAGGUGGUUAGUGUUUCUCAAUCUAUGCCCAUGCUUACUGCUGAGUUGUGUUAUUCCACCUGCAAGCUGAUGGACCUAUCCAUAAAGGGAGCUAUCAAAUCAAAAAUGAUAAAACCUGUUCACUCUUCCCUUUUUUUAACCUAUUUCAUCAUCUUGGAGAUUAUUUUUUAAAAAUGUGAUAUUCUUUCAUUUUUAAGUUUUAAACAAGAAAAAUGUUCCCAUGUUAAUUUUAAACCCUUUGUAUUAUGUUUUCUUACUUCAAAAAAGCAACAGCUUAUAUUUUUUGCUAGAGUUCGGUACCCAUUCAAGACUAAAAUAUUUAUGAUAAUACAGAUGUAGCUAAGCAGAAGGCUGCUGUAAGAGUGAGGUUUUGUCCUGGCUUUCUACAGUCUUCUGAAAGGAAUCACUUCCCUUUAGUCUCUGCCAGUGUCCUGGCUGUGCAGCAUUCCCAAAACAUGUGGCCCAUAAAAUGGGAUUAUAGGGAGGGCAUUCAAGUAAACAGAAGUUCCCUCGGGAUGAGAUUUGCUUUUUCAUGCAGAGCUCCUGUGUGCUGUAGACUGGCACUGGAAUGAAUUCUUCUCUUGGUGACCCCAAGAGUGGGAGAGCACCCAGGCCACCCUCUUGUUUUGGGGAAAAUCUCCUGGCUAGCACAAUAAAGUCCCCCUGUGCAGUGGUUUUGGAAGGACACACCCAGCUGAAGGUUUCCUCCUGUAUCUCUUUGGUGGCUCUGUGUAACAAUGAAUGACCAGUCUCAUGAUGUGGCUAGAGCUGCCAGAAAUCUGCAGUGAGCACACAGCUGUAUCAGUCAUUAUUUGUACAGUAUUGCUGAAGCAGCCCAAUGCUUUUAUCAGUUGUGUUCAGGGAUAAGUAGCUGCUUAAUGAUAAAAACCUUUGUGCUUCUAUGAGCAGACAGUGACAUUGGUAUAUAAUAGUGUAUUUCUGUGAUUGCAGGGUCCUGUUCAGCCUGUUCUGUUGAAAGUGUACAACCUGGGCAGGCUCAGUGCAGUUUGAAUACUUCUGAGUUCUUUGUUGAGACUAAAUUGUAUUGGUCUCAGCAGGGAAUGUUUCCAGAGCCGUUCCCUGCAUCCAUCCUGGCCUAAAUAACUCAGGCUGUCAUUGCUGCUCCACAGAAUGAUGCUGUGUGGGAUAUCAGGGCACAAAGCCUUCACACUUGUGUUCAUUGUACUGUAGCUAUGUUUCAUAUUUUGAAAGACCUUAUCACAAAUGGAUGUUGUCCUUCUAGCUCUCCCGUGGCUGCUAGUCACCAGGAGAAUGAUUCAGUCAGUAGUGUUCCUGUUAUGACAGACUCAUAGAAUGGUCUGGGUUGAAAGGGAUCCUAAAGAUCAUCUUGUUCUUCCUGCCUGCCGUGGACUGGGACACCUUCCCCUAGACUGGGAUACUCGGGGCCGCAUCCAGCCCGCCCUUGCACACUUCCAGGGAUGGGACAUCCACAGCUUCUCUGGACAACCUGUUCAGUGUUCACCACUCUCACAGUAAAGUAUUUCUUCCUGAUACCUAAUCUAAAUCUGCCUUCUUUCAGAUUGAAGCCAUCCCCAUGUCCUAUCACUGCAUGCCCUUGUAGGAAGUCCUUUUCUGUUUUUUUUUGUAGCGUCCCUUUGUAUACUGGAAGGCUCUGUAUUGCCAGUAGCAAGGCUUUGGAUGCUGGUGGCCUGGUCUUGGCUUCCUGGAGGCGCUGUUCCGUACCACUGCAUGCCUGCUUUUCUGCAGGGGGAAAGCUGCAAUUGUAAAUACUAUCCUUAAACCAGCAGGAAUUCAUGAAUUCCCUUGGGUGACUGUAUUCCACACAUGGCCUGUGUUUGUCAUGUCCUUGAUGUGCUACUGGGUAUUAGUGAAGAAUACAAUAAGAGAUCCCUCCAGACUGGAAGAUUGCCCUCUGCAUUUGGUCAGCACAGCCUUAUUUGUACUGACUUUACCUUUCUUUAGAGGUAACUCUGAACAGAAGUGGUUAAACUUCUUGUAAUUGUGAAGCUUUGAACCAAUAGCAGCAGUGAGAGUUUUCAGUUAUCUGAAGAAAUGUACAUUAGAAAUUCUUGGGUUUUAUUUCUGCACCUGGUACAAAGAAGUAGAACAGCCCUGGGAACAGUCAAGACAACCCAGUUCCUGCCACUGUCAAAAGCAGCAAAUCCAUUCAUUUGUGUACCUCCUAUUGUAACCAAAGCAAAGUUAUGUUGUGGGUUCUAAAUCAGGAGUCGCUAUUCUUUCUCUUUGGUUUCCUUUGAAAGCCUUUACAAUGGGGAGCAUGCUUACAAAAUUAAGGGAGUCAACUUUGGGGCCUGUAUCUCACAUCACAGGUGAGUGCACUCAGAGUAAUGUCAUUGUCACAGCUGUACUCAGCUUUUGUUUCAACAGGAUCAGAUUCUUUGCUCUCAUCUGCAGAGGGGUAUAAAUGAGAGAAAGGCUGACUUAAUGUGAUGGCAGAUUGUUAAGAGUAGUAGUUAUUUAAAGACUGCUUAAUCCUAUUUAAGGUUGGGAUUUUUUGGAAAGUCUGGUUUAUGGAUAUAUUUUGUACAAGAGCCCAUUUAAGAGCUGGAUCUCAAUAAAUCUAUAAUUUGCUACAUCUCCUUUGGUAUUUUCAUCAUAUUUCAACUGUAUGAGAGUUAAAUGAUUAAUAAAUAAAAUUUUCUGAAGGUCAUUUGAUGGUCUGAGAUUAAUUGAUGUUUUAAAUACCUACAGGUUUUAAGGAAAAGUGAUGCUGAAUUAUGAGGGGAAGUACCAAUUUAUUUAAUGACUGUUUUUCUAAUAAAUAUAGAUGAUAAAGCUGUAACUGCAGGGAACCAAAAAUGUCAUGUGAAUAAACAGUAGCACCUGCUUCUAU